rfam:Triticum aestivum genome assembly, contig: Triticum_aestivum_CS42_TGACv1_scaffold_130617_2BL
AAUCUACUCCCUCCGUUCCGAAUUACUUGUCUUGAAUUUGUCUAGAUACAGAUGUAUCUAGACUCAUUUUAAUACUAGAUACAUCUGUAUCUAGAUAAAUCUAAGACAAGUAAUUUAGAACGGAGGGAGUAGCUA